CAGAGGUCCCAAGCGUUGUUCGGAUUUACUGGGCGUAAAGGGUGCGUAGGUGGCGGGGUAAGUCGGAUGUGAAAUCUCCAGGCUCAACCUGGAAAUGGCAUUGGAAACUACCUUGCUGGAGAGUUGGAGGGGGGACUGGAAUACUUGGUGUAGCAGUGAAAUGCGUAGAUAUCAAGUGGAACACCAGUGGCGAAGGCGAGUCCCUGGACAACUUCUGACGCUGAGGCACGAAAGCUAGGGGAGCAAACAGGAUUAGAUACCCUGGUAGUCCUAGCCCUAAACGGUGCACGUUUGCUGUAAAAGGAAUCGACCCCUUUUGUGGCGAAGCUAACGCGUUAAACGUGCCGCCUGGGAAGUACGGUCGCAAGAUUA
rnacentral:rRNA from 1 species